CAGGAAGUCGCUUGCUCUCCUUGGAAGCUGCAGAGCUGGUGAGGUUUCAUCAUCAUUUCCCUUCAAUAAACCAAACUGUUGAUGUCUAUUUUCUCUUCUGAUGUCAUGUGGGAGACUCCCGUUGCUCAGGCCAAAUGUGCUUCUCAAAGGAAAAAGAACAAGAAAUAAACCUACAGGAGCAAGGAGAGCUGGAGGAAGAAGAUGAAAAAAAAAAAAGAAGAGAAGUCUUUUUUUGACCCAGAGAAAGCUCAGUGUUGCAUCAUGAAAAAUGGACCGAAUUUAGCUCACAGUAGUGAGGAAAGGAAUAUGGAGCAGUAUCAACCAGGGUAACUUCUGGGCGCUAUCAGUAGAAGGCCAAAAAGGAAGAUAAUAUGUUCCCAUAAAUGUUUUUCUAUUGUAAAGGAAAAUAGAGAUAAUGAAGGCACAUGUACUGGAGUUUCUUGCUGUCCAGUACAUGAUUUUAGCACCACACUACCUCAGACACGUGGCUGUAUAGGAGUUCCAGUGGUGACCUCCUUCACAAUGGAGCACAGACUCUGACGCUGUUCAGCUUUACUCAAGGGGGUUUCAUUACAUCCCUGGAACAACAUAAGAUCCCAAGACUUGAAGAUGGCGGAGACGAGCAGACACAGGUAGGCCUGUGGCGGCGGCCCACGGAGGUAGACGGGCCCGGCGGCAGCGGCCGACAGGGACAUUCAGGCCCGGCGGCAGCCGGCAGAGACAUUCAGGCCCAGCGGCGGCUCACAGAGGUGGACAGGCCCUGCAGCAGAGAUAAGCAGACGGAAGUGGACGGCCUGGUGGCAGCGGCCAACAGAGACAUUCAGGCCCGGCGGCGGCCCACAGAAGUAAACAGGCCACUCGGUGGAGACAGGCGGACGCAGGUCGUCGACCUGCGGAGGUGGACGGGCCCGGUGGCAGCAGCCG